ACUUUUAGGAGUUCAGUUUCUCCAUUUAGCAAACAAAGAUUUAGUCUGUUCUGUGCAACAGUGCAAGGACUGAAUUCAACUUCAACUUUAUUUAAACACGGUACUAUUUCACAGUAUAUUAAAAUAUAUGCAAAUAGUUUUGUUCUCUGCGAUCUACUUUCCGCAAUUGGAAUUAAAGUGCGUCAAGAAAAUACGCUAAAAUCAUUUGUUUCAUCAUUAAACGAGGGAUCUAAACAAACGGCUUGACUGCCAAGCUUUCUCAGGGUCUCAACUUGCUGGACGCGGAUAUACAAUUUCUAACGGGAUAACAACAGCAAUAACGAAAUUCUUUAUCGUACCAUGACGAAGGCGAUAUGGCUCAGAAAACAACGCCGGUAAGACCUGAUAAAUAAGACUUUCACCGAAGCCAGUUGGCAGAACGGCAAAGACAUCUUGGGCCUUGGCUGUCAACAACAAGCUUUCGAAUGCACGACUUUUGCUGUUCUUUAAGCGUCGUGUGUCCAAACUUCGUCAAAGAUUUUGAUAAAGCCCUUUCAAAAUACUGUGUGUUUGAUUUAUUUUCUGCCAUAAAGCAUAUUAAACAAAAGAAAUUCGAAGAAAUUCGACAAUACUAUUACGAUAAUCACAAUGCAAUUUGAUACAUGCGUUUGACCUUGCCACAUUGACCUAGCAAUUUACAAAAUAUUGUUUAUGUGAACUUCCAACCAAUCAAAAUCUUUCAUGAUGCUGAUCAACCAAUCAGAUUUCCCGUUCACCAGAUGGACGGGAAUCCCACGGUUUAGAUAGGUUUUGUGUCAGGCCCUAUUCUGUGAUUAGGGCCUGAACUUCAGGUUAGGAAAUACCAAGCAUCUUCUCUUUUUAUCACCUGGAAUACGUUUAUCGCCGCGUUUUAUUAAAACGCGGAUGCGGAUUGAUGGCAACGGACGGGCGAAUGACUUAUCUCUUCUCGUUUUUAAAACGUCAUUUAACAGUUAUCCGCGUUUUAUCCAAGAGGAUAAAAUGCGGAUAUGGUCCAAGAAACGUUUUCAUUCUUCUACAAGUCAACUUAGUCAACUUCAAUUUAAACAAGUCAAAUAAAGGCACGAAAAAGGUUUUUGAACCAUAUCCGCGUUUUAUCCUAGCCCGAUUACCGCCGCAAGGGUUCAUGUUAGGCUUUUGUUGGUUUUACACUUGAAUAUAAGUCCGAGUUUCCUUCCAAUCCUGCCUAAAGAAAGCUAUGGCCAUGUAUGGUUGCAAAUAUUAGACGUGGGUUGUCAUCUCGACGUAUGCAUUACUGCCUUAGAUAAUUUUACAUACAUCACACUCUUUCACCAUAAAUCUUAUCUUACUUUGUUGAUGUAUACAUAGCAGUAUUCUUAGCUAUUAACUCCAAGUAAUUAUUUGUAGGAUAUCAACAGAGUAUCAGAGUUAGCAUAUUCCAACAAAACGACAUUUUAUUCGAACUUUUCCCCAGUUAUCUUUUGCCAAAGUUAUUUUAGGCUUUGUACGUUAUGUAAGGGGUUAUAUAUAUAUGAGGAGCGCUGUAGUGUGUCACAAUGACAAUGUAUCAGUAAAAAGCUGCACAAAUUAAAAUUGGGCAUUGGAUUAUUUAAAGAUUGAAAUCGCCAAAGGGACAUUUUAUACGACUAAUACGAGAUUUUAUAAUACAAAGUAUAAACAAAGACAGAAGAAAAGGCUAUGUGAGAAAGACUGUACCGUUAAUUGUACAUAUAUCUACAAAAAUUGUGAGUGAUAUCUUGAAUCAUCAGUUCAAUUUAGCGGUACAAAUAACAAAAUCCUGAUCGUGAAUGAGUGUGUUGUAGUUGUUCAAUGUAAGACUCCACGACCACGAGAGUAACGAGUCUCCAUACCGUACAUAAUAUAUUUAUAAAUAUAUAGUAUAUUAUUUAUAAAAUAUAAAUUAACACUUUAUUGAUUUUAUAUCAAUUUCAUCAAAGGCUCUUAUAUAUUGUCUGUCAUCGCACAGCCGCACUCAUUAUUACGACGCAAAACUUCGGUUUCCUCUGCGAUUCAGGAUUAAAAACUCACUUCCUGAAGCAUUCAUGUUAUAUAUUUCUUUCCAAAUUGAUAUGAGCUACCAUUAUUGAUAUAGAAGGUAGUGAAGGUUCCAGUAAAGAGGCCUGAAUUGGCAAUACUUGUUCUCGUGAAAUGUGAAAUGAUGGAUAUUCUUGUGUCGUGAAACGUGAUUUCAAAAACUCAUUAAUAAUUCAUGAGGAAAACACAAAGAAAAAUCAUAAGCGUGUCGUAUCCAUAGAUAUCUUAUAUACAAUAGAUAGCGCAUCUCUUUUAUUAAAAUUGAAGCCAAGAAUAUUCCAGCGGUUACCCCCAUUUGAAUAGAUGGCGGCCAUACUUGUCGUUCCCACUUGCUAAUAAACGCUUAAAAACAACAAUAACUUGCAUCAUUUGAAUAGUUUAAAAACGUAUUAGGAAUAGGGUUAACUUAAUGGUUAAGUUCCCUGUUUAAGAAAUAGAAAACAUACGAAUCUUCUCAUUUAAUGGGAACGACCUGAGACUGCAAUCACGGCAUCUAAUUAUUCUGCAUUUCAAAUAUUGAAGCACUAUCUAGUGUAUAUAAGAUAUCUAUGGUCGUAUCUUUAUAUGUGAUAGAGAUUUCCCUUGAUUUACAUAAACUUUAACUUUGAUUUUCUCG
rnacentral:lncRNA from 1 species